GGCAGUGUAGUAUAAUGGGUAAGGAACUGGGCUCGUAACCCUAAGGUCCUAAGUUCGAAUCCUGGGGUGGACA
rnacentral:tRNA from 1 species